CACCAGAGUUAAAAUCCUGGUGUUACGGUGUUUUAGAGUGAAGUGUUAAUGUUAUGGUGUUGAAUUAACACUGAUGGUGUAAAAAAGGUUACUCUGGCUGGUGAAACUACUAAGAAUCUGAGCUCAUCAACACUGGUAGUGUGAUUACACAUCCGGGACAUUUACGUGGUGCAAGCUUCAACCAGCCAAAACUUUUCUCACUGACGCCAUUUUAUUUGAAUCGCCACUCUAGCGAAGAAGCGUGUUUUAUUAACUGGAAGCAUACAGGACUGUGGAGAAGUGCAUAAAGCGCCAUUUGUUUCGACUGACCCUGUAGAAUAGGCCAGUGCUCAUGUUACUGGAAAUGUAGACGACGGCGAGUUUUCUUUGGAUUCGGGCAACAGUGCAAAUAAGAAGGCCUACGUUAACGUGACAUAAACGGGGAAAAAACGCAGAAGGUUAACGUCAUGUUUGUGAAAGUGCAGUUCAAAAACUCCAAGAAAUUCAUAAAGUUACAAAAUGGAUUCACUUUUACAGAUUUCAUAAAUGAAGUGCGAAGCAGAUUUGAUUUACAGACUGGAGCAGACUUGAAGAUAUAUGAC